rnacentral:misc_RNA from 1 species
GUUACAGAGCUUUUUGAUAGAUGUCGACGAACGUACAAUGGAGAUUUUUUGCUUUUCUACCUUUGGGAAAGUUGAUGAUCCUCAGCUACUGUCAAUAUUUGGUCGAAUUAAUUUAGGAUACAGAAACUGGUAAAAUCGACAAUGGGAUUCUAACAAUAUGGUUUAAACUUCCUGUCAGAACAAUUUCACCAAAGCUGAACACAUCCCUUGCCUGGGUCACGCGAAAUUGUAUGUCUAUGUUCUGAGUUCCUUGUGGAGCUAUUGCAAACCAGGUCGGAGACAGGUUAACUAUAGUCCCAUUGGGUGAUAUCACUGAGCAUAGAUAUGUCUCUGGCUUGCUACCUACAUUCUUGACACUCCUUUGCACUUUUAGGGACCCUCUUAGUGCUGAUAUUGUAACUGAAGGGAGGUUCAGGUUGGCCGGGUGGCUAAGUGGUUGAUUGCACUGUUGUCCAGUAGCAAUUUUGAUUGUAGUUGGAUUGAUGUUGGGCAACGAGCAUAAAAAACUUAUGUAAUCUUCAAAUUCUGAUGUAAA